GACGAACGCUGGCGGCGUGCUUAACACAUGCAAGUCGAACGGUGAUGCUCCAGCUUGCUGGAGUGGAUCAGUGGCGAACGGGUGAGUAACACGUGAGCAACCUGCCCCAGACUCUGGAAUAAGCGCUGGAAACGGCGUCUAAUACUGGAUACGAAACUGGCCCGCAUGGGCAUGGUUUGGAAAGUUUUUCGGUUUGGGAUGGGCUCGCGGCCUAUCAGCUUGUUGGUGAGGUAAUGGCUCACCAAGGCGACGACGGGUAGCCGGCCUGAGAGGGCGACCGGCCACACGGGGACUGAGACACGGCCCAGACUCCUACGGGAGGCAGCAGUGGGGAAUAUUGCACAAUGGGCGAAAGCCUGAUGCAGCGACGCCGCGUGUGGGAUGACGGCCUUCGGGUUGUAAACCUCUUUCAGCAGGGAAGAAGCGAAAGUGACGGUACCUGCAGAAGAAGCACCGGCUAACUACGUG
rnacentral:rRNA from 1 species